rnacentral:rRNA from 1 species
UGGGGAAUAUUGCACAAUGGGCGCAAGUCUGAUGCAGCCAUGCCGCGUGUAUGAAGAAGGCCUUCGGGUUGUAAAGUACUUUCAGCGAGGAGGAAGGCGUUGUGGUUAAUAACCGCAACGAUUGACGUUACUCGCAGAAGAAGCACCGGCUAACUCCGUGCCAGCAGCCGCGGUAAUACGGAGGGUGCAAGCGUUAAUCGGAAUUACUGGGCGUAAAGCGCACGCAGGCGGUCUGUCAAGUCGGAUGUGAAAUCCCCGGGCUCAACCUGGGAACUGCAUCCGAAACUGGCAGGCUAGAGUCUUGUAGAGGGGGGUAGAAUUCCAGGUGUAGCGGUGAAAUGCGUAGAGAUCUGGAGGAAUACCGGUGGCGAAGGCGGCCCCCUGGACAAAGACUGACGCUCAGGUGCGAAAGCGUGGGGAGCAAACA